UACGUAGGGUGCAAGCGUUGUCCGGAAUUAUUGGGCGUAAAGAGCUCGUAGGCGGUCUGUCGCGUCUGCUGUGAAAACCUAGGGCUUAACUCUGGGCGUGCAGUGGGUACGGGCAGGCUAGAGUGCGGUAGGGGAGACUGGAAUUCCUGGUGUAGCGGUGAAAUGCGCAGAUAUCAGGAGGAGCACCGGUGGCGAAGGCGGGUCUCUGGGCCGUAACUGACGCUGAGGAGCGAAAGCAUGGGGAGCGAACAGG
rnacentral:rRNA from 1 species